rnacentral:rRNA from 1 species
AUUGAACGCUGGCGGAAUGCUUUACACAUGCAAGUCGAACGGCAGCACGGACUUCGGUCUGGUGGCGAGUGGCGAACGGGUGAGUAAUGUAUCGGAACGUGCCCAGUCGUGGGGGAUAACGUAGUGAAAAUUACGCUAAUACCGCAUACGAUCUAUGGAUGAAAGCGGGGGAUCGCAAGACCUCGCGCGAUUGGAGCGGCCGAUAGCAGAUUAGGUAGUUGGUGGGGUAAAGGCCCACCAAGCCAACGAUCUGUAGCUGGUCUGAGAGGACGACCAGCCACACUGGAACUGAGAAACGGUCCAGACUCCUACGGGAGGCAGCAGUGGGGAGUUUUGGACAAUGGGCGAAAGCCUGAUCCAGCCAUUCCGCGUGCAGGAUGAAGGCCCUCGGGUUGUAAACUGCUUUUGUACAGAACGAAAAGGUUUCUACUAAUACUAGGAGCUCAUGACGGUACUGUAAGAAUAAGCACCGGCUAACUACGUGCCAGCCGCCGCCGCGG